UUUUUAGUGGCAUGCAUUACUCCCUCCAUUCCCUUAUACAAGGCCAAAUAGGUCAACCUUUUAAACUGCCUGCUGAAUCCAUGAGAAGGCAAGAGACAACCUGGCGAACUGAAACAUCUUAGUAGCCAGAGGAAAAGAAAGCAAAAGC
rnacentral:ncRNA from 1 species